GGGAGAUUAGCUCAGUGGUUUAUAUGAAGUCCACCAACUAGGUUAGGAGCAUACAGGAAUGACUUCUAUAUCAACAUCUGUAUUGUCCGGAAAAUACAGUUGUCUGUGUAGUUGUUUGCAAUGGUUGCGAGUAAUACUAGGGACAAAAUGUCAGAGCACCAGACUUGCAAUCUGGAGGUCAUCGGUUCGAAUCCGGUAUCAUCCCACCA
rnacentral:tRNA from 1 species